GCGUCGGUGGUUCAGUGGUAGAAUACUCGCCUGCCACGCGGGUGGCCCGGGUUCGGUUCCCGGCCGACGGA
rnacentral:tRNA from 1 species